UCAAUAACUUAAAAUUGCUAAUAAGGCGAAAGGCAUUAAUAACAUUUACCCCCUGUUAGCAGCUAAACCUCGCAAAAAGAGAAGGUAUAGGCAAGUUGGUUCAAUUAAAUGCUUUAAGUGGGAGAAAUAUUAAGAUGUACUGAGUGGGACAUGAUUUUACUGGUGGCGGAUGAAGUCUGAUGUUAGAAGCUUCUGUGUAAUCUGCCAUAAGUCAUGCAAAAAUGUACUGUGCAUGUAUUUAGGAUAUGUUAGUAUAAAGGGGUAAAACCAUGUUAAUGCCUUUAUUUCCAUUUUUCUCAAUGACAACUUUUGGUAUUUGCAGGUGUCUUCCAGCAAGGAUGCCUACUCUCAUGGGAUCUUUGGCAUUGGGAAGUACAGGACGGAGUUCCUGUCAAGAUUGCAGAAUUUGGAAGUCUGGAUGACUAGACAGAAAUAAUUACUUUAUGAAAUAGAAAUGGAAGCCCUCGAUACAAGUCCAACAAUUGUGGAUCCUACAUGUUCAGUGCCACUUGAUUAGGUGUGGUGUUCAUAUAAAGUCGCUGACUGAAGAGUGGUGGCUUCAAAGCCAUCUGUGUGGUUGCUUGUGUGCAGACACUUUUGGUAGCACUGUCUCGUUUUUUCUGGAGAUGUGAGGGUGCAGACAGUUCUGAAGAUGGAUGGAUACAAAUGUAAUGCAGAUUUGAUGUAUGCAUAUAAUUUUGCUAUUAUAUAAAGUGUGUAAACUCAAUAAAUAGUAUGGAAA